UACGAGGGGGGCGAGCGUUGUUCGGAAUUAUUGGGCGUAAAGGGUGCGUAGGCGGUUUGGUAAGUCUCGUGUGAAAUCUACAGGCUCAACUUGUAGUCUGCACGAGAAACUGCCGGGCUUGAGUAUGGGAGAGGUGAGUGGAACUGCGAGUGUAGAGGUGAAAUUCGUAGAUAUUCGCAAGAACACCAGUGGCGAAGGCGGCUCACUGGCCCAUUACUGACGCUGAGGCACGAAAGCGUGGGGAGCAAACAGG
rnacentral:rRNA from 1 species